GUCUGCACCACAUAUCACUUCCACCUCCUCCGUCUCCUACUCUCCAUUACCCAUCCCCCCUUCCACCCUCCAUUCCAAUCAUCACCAUCCACAUCCACAACUCUCUGCACGCCAAAAUGUAAUUCUCCAAUAAAUAUAACCAUAGCACCACCUCGUCCCUAAAUCUGUUCAGAAUCUAGUGAUUACCGUAUCUCUCUCCAUGGUGCACAUCUUAACCAUGUAGUCUCCACUACUUUACUACACAACAGAGUUCUGAAAAAAUCAAGUGGUAUCGGACAUUCCAAUUCCUACGCAACCAAAAUAAACACAGAAGACCGCCUCCUACCCACUGCUUCCUCUAACUCUCGGCCCUCCCCCUCCUCCCCUACCCCUUCUCCUACACCACACCUACUGGCAGGUCACUCCAUUCCCAUCCGACCACUCGAUCGGCUCCUCGCCGCCUGUGGCUCCACAUUUCUGGACCAUGGUCAUGCAGCCAAAAUCCUGCCGCCUUUACUUUAACACUAGGUCGACACGCCUGCGCCCAUCCCAACACAAUCCCAUCGUCAGCCCCGCAACACAAAUCCCGCCACAAAUCACCCUCCCACCACCACUUCCUUCACGCAUCGCACGCACCUACUACCCGCCCCACAUCUCUACCCAUCAUGCGCUACCUCGACACCGCUCUUACCACUACUCUCCACCAUCUAAGCACCCCCUCCCCUCCCCCCGCACCCUCCGACCCCCCAUCAACAUCCAUGCUGGUAAUAUUUGCGANNNNNNNNNNNNNNNNNNNNNNNNNNNNNNNNNNNNNNNNNNNNNNNNNNNNNNNNNNNNNNNNNNNNNNNNNNNNNNNNNNNNNNNNNNNNNNNNNNNNCGCCUCGCCCCACCGGCGUCGGCCCGUACCGGCUGUCCCCGCGCCCCCCGUAUCCGCUCCCUCCUCCCGGACUCCCACCCCCGUAUCCUCCCUGGCUGUACCCCGAUCCGUAGUUGCCCCCGCCGCGACCGCCUCCGCCGAACCCCCCGCCAGCCCGCCCCGACCCCGCCGACAGCUCCUUCGGAAUCGCCUUCUUCACCUCCACCAUCUUGUCGUUCAGCUCGUGGAACGACUUCUGGAUCACGUUCUCAACUGCAUCCUCAGAAUCAAAAGUGAUGAAGCCAAACCCCCGAGGCCUUUGCGUAUUGUGGUCAUACAUAACAACCACGUCUGUAAUAGUACCAAACUGCUCGAAAUACUUUUUGAAGUCAUCCUCUGUAACUGUCGAGGCUAAGCCCCCCACAAAUAUCUUCUUUGUCCUAGUGUGGGAUGUUGCAGGCCCUUGGCCACCCACGCUGUUGCUCCUAGGUAUACUCUGCUGUUCGUCUCUCGGCACAGCUUUUUUCGCUUCCACCUAGAAUGGGAAAAAAAAAUAUUUAACAAAGACACGCUACACAAAGUUAUACAACUGCCACACAACCUCAUGCCACCAACCACCAUCACCACACGCACUCCCGCAUGCCACCCCCCUCCCAUGCAUUCAACUCCACCUCGAUCCCCCUUCGCCCGACACCUACCGCCCCCCUCCCUCCCUCCCACCCUCGCGCCCUACCGCACUGACCUCACCACGCCACCGGCCCUCCCCUCCCCUCCCCGAGUCCAAGACAGAGCGCUUACCGUUCUUCCGUCGAUGGUGUGCUUCUCGCCGGCCACCCGAUCGGCCACGCUCGGGUCCGCGAAUAUCACGAACCCGAACCCCCGCGCGCGCCCCGUCGCGCGGUCCUUCAUGAUCACCGUCUCCGCCACCUCGCCAUAGCUCUUGAAGUAAUCGCGCAGCUUCUCCUCCGUCGUCUCCCAAGAGAUGCCGCCGAUGAACAGCUUGCCCUGAUCGGAGUCCAUGGCCGCCGACCCGUCCUGGUCCGCCAGACUUCCCGCCCUCCUAACUCCCGCUGAAAUGAUCAGAAAAAUCGGACUCCACAAAACCCAUAUGCCCCUCGCAUACACAGAGGCUCAAAUACCCUUACGACAAGAUCAAAACAAGAGCAGCGGCAUCGACAAUUCCCAUGCAACGCGCGAACCAACAGGCCGCGGCGUAGCAGGGGAGGGAGGGAGCGGACGCGAGAGCCUAGGGUUAGCAGGAGACUGGAGCUCCGAGGAGCACUGAUUCAAAGACGGGGAGAGGGAGGGGCAGCCAAGAAGGCAAGAGUCGCGACGGGAAGGGAAGGGGAGGGAAGGCCAGUCCCCCCCCCCCUGGCUUGGGUUUCGCGAACGUCGGGAUCGCAUGAAGAUUUGGGCAGGUUCAUUCAUUGAUUACCAUUUCCUCUUACGGGGCAUUCACGCAAUUCUUUGUGCUCUCGGGGCAAUUGUGAAGCACAAUCGCCCUUGAUCACGAAUUUCGCUCUGUCUGUCUAGUUAUGUUCUUUCUGGUAUUCCUUUUUGGGUGUUGGAGAGUAACGGCAUUUUGCAAAAAAAUUCAACAUUCAUAACAUUUCAUGGAACCAUUGUGGGUUUGCUUUUAUUAUAACUAGAGGAAUAAUAUCUUUAUUUCUUUGUCUACCAAGCUUAUUAAAUUACAAAGGAAUCACUAUAUAUAUAUAUAUAUAUAUAUAUCUCCAUUAAUUUUAUGUAUCAAAUAAAUUUAAACAAAGUAUUUUUGUAAAAAAUUAUACAAUUUUCUACAAUAUAGAUGGUAUGAUCAUUAAUGGAUUUUUUUCUUUAAAGAUUACAAAUGUUCAAAUUACAUUUUAAUUUUAAAAAAUAAUAUGUAUAUUAAAAUUAAGAUUUUUUAUUUUUAUUUUUUUAAUAUAUAUUUAAGUCUUUUAUAUUAUUUUCAUUAUGAAAAUAUAUAUUAAAUAUCAACAUAUGUUAUUAAAUUUUUGUAAAGAAGAAAUUUAAUAUAGUCAUUUUUGUAUAAAUGUCACAAACAUACAUAUUUAUUCUAAUAAUUACUUAUAUGAUUAAGUAGAAAUAAGUAAAUAUAGAUUAAUUUCAUAAUAUCUUCUAGAAAAGCUUCUUAGAAGCAUCAUAGAUAUGGUUUUGACUUUACAUGUGUUUGUAGUUAAUAGGUAGGUUAGAAAUUUUGUCAACAAGUUAACCACAAGCUAUAUAUACUGGUAGCUUAUGAAACAAGCUUAUUAUAUGGCACACAUAUAGAAAACUUACUUUGUAAGACAUAUGUCUAGCAAAGUCAAUACACAUUGGAGGACUUAUAGAACAUCGUGACAUAACUCUUAGUUAGAUAGUAUAUGUGGAGGUAAGAGUGAAGUCUUGCUUUACUCAUGUCAAAGCCUUUUUAGUUCUUUGUCCUAUUUUUAGACUUUUUAAUCUACUUGUCUUUAGCAAUAGCCAUUCUAGUUCAAUAUAUUACCAUCUUUGAGUGAUUUCCUAGUCUUUUCAAGUAGUACAAGAAUGUAUUGAGAUUCUCUUUCUUUGAGGUUCAUAUUCUUGAUAAUUUGAUAAAAGUGUUAACUUAUUAUUCUUGUCUUGUUUUAGAAAUGAGUAGUUUAUCCGACUUUUAUUAUUGUAUUUAAAAAAUUGUACCUAUAAACAAACCGUUUAGUUUUUUAAUAUUGAUUUUUUUCUUAAAAAAAGUAAUUUUUUUUUAUGGAAUUUUUUAUUUGAUAUUAAAGGUUGCAGAUUACCUUCUUCUAAUUUAACUUUUUGAAUUUGUUUGAGUUAUCUAUAAAAGAAAAAGAUUAUAGAUACAACUAUCAAUAAAAUUGAGAAUAGAUGUGUAUCAUGGACAUAUAUAUUCAUUCUAAUAUUUACUUAUAUGAUUAAGUAAAAAUAGAUAAAAGUAGAAUUAUUUCAUAAUAUUUUUUAGAAAAAGCUUCGUAGAAGCUUAAUGGAUGUUAUUUUCACUUUACAUAGGUUUGUAGUUGAUUGAUAGGUUAGAAACUUGGUCAAUAAGUUAACCUCAUGUUGGUAGCUUCAAAAAUAAGCUAAUUAUGUGGUCCACAUAUAGAAAACUUACCUUGCAAGUUAAGAUACAUAUCUUGCAAAGUUAAUACAUUUUGGAGGUCUUGUAGGACAUUGCCACAUAGCUCUUAGUUAAGAAUAUGUAUGGAAGCAAAAAUAAAGCCUUCUUCACUCUUAUCAAUGCCUUUCUAGUCUUUAGUCUUGUUUCAAGACUUUCUAGUCUUUUUAUCUUUGGCAAUAACCAUUCUAAUUUAAUACUAUAUCAUCUUUGAAUGACUUUCUAAUUCUUUUGAGUGAUAUAAGAGUGUAUUUAAGAUUUCUUUAUUUGAGAUUCAUAUCCUUGAUAGUUUAGCAAGAAUUCUAACUCAUUAUUCUUAUUUUUUUAGAAGUGAGUGGAAUAUCUCACUUCUACUAUUGUAUAUUAAAGGUUGCAGAUUAUCCACCUAUAAAUAAACAAUUUGAUUUUUUAAUACUAAUUUUUUCCUUAAAAAGAGCAGAUUAUCUUUCUUUAUGGAAAUUUUCAUUUUAUAUUAGAGAUUGUAAAUUACCUUCUUCUAAUUUAAUUUUUUAGAUUUAUUAAAUUAUUUAAAAUAGAAGGAAAAAUUAUAAAUGUCAUACUUAGCAGAAGUGAGAAUAUAUUUACAAAUAUUAUACAUCUUCACAAAUUUGUCAAUAUUCUUAGCAUGAAAAUUUUACACAUCACUAGUGCCAACCAAAGAAACAUUAAUCCUAUAUCUAUAAAAGAAGUUCAAAGUCUACAAUAAGAAGUUGUAUAGUUGAAAAAAAUAAGUAAAUUGACCUCACAACCAAGUCUAGAAAGUUUUGUUUCUAUAAGUGCAAUAAAGUCAAGGAUUAGUAUGCUCGAAAAGUUUGAUGGAAUAAGAUCAAAAUUUCACGGAUUUUUGCAAUAAAUCAAGCUCUAUCUAAGGUUGCAUUUCUUCUAAUACCUUAAUGGAUUUAUUCAAGUUGGAUUUAUAGACUCAUUUUUAUUUGGAAGUGCUUUCUUUUGCUUUACACCUUUGAUGAAAAAAGAUUUACAACUCCUUUAUGAUUUCAAUUCAUUCCUAGAAAUGUUUAUCGCCACAUUCAAAGAGAAUAAUUGAGAAAGAGUAGUAGAGACCAAGCUCUUAUUUUUAUGAUAAGAAUAAUAAUUAGCCACUAUAUAUGCUAUUUAAUUCCAAAACCUUGCAUACAACAUGGAUUGGAAUAAUAAAGCCUUUAUUAAUUGAUUUUGAUAUAGAUUGAAGUAAAAUGUCAAAAUUUUGUUAUUAACAAUAUCAAAAAUAAAAUCUUUGGAACAAUUUAUUGCUCAAGCCAUUGCAUAUGACAAUCAAAUAUUUGAAGGGCAUUAAGAAUAAAGAUUUGGUUGGAGAGGAAUAAAUCAAGUACUAACAACAGCUCCUAAGUUUUUUGAAACUUAUUCAUUAAGGCCAAAAUCAAUACAAAUUGAUAAGAUACAUUUUAAAUCUCUUAUUAAACAAAAACAAGACUUGUAGUUGUCAAGAAGGUUUGUAGCUAUAUUAUCAAGCAUACUAUUCAAUAUUAUCAAAAAAAACAACACAAUCAUAAAAUAAAGAGUAUGGUUGCCAAAGAAGAUGAUGUAUCAAAAAAUAAGUUUUUCCAACUAUAAUAAAGACCAUGUGGUUAGAAUCUUACACAAUUGUUAAUAAAUAUCCUAUUCUCUAUUUAAAUUCCUCACUUUAUUUUAAAAUAAAAGUAUUUUUAGGACCAUAAAAUCACAAAGUCUUAACCUUAUUAGAUUUUAGAAUCUUAUCAUGUUCUAUAAAUAAAGACUUUGUCAAAAAAUAAGAUAUAUCUUUAAUUAAGAAAAUCAAACCUAUACAUCUAGAAAUAAUAGAUGGUCGUUCAUUAUCUUUUAGAAAUACUACACAUAAAAUUAUUCCUAUAAAAGUAGCAACUAGUAUUUAUAAUAGUUUAAUAAUAUUUAAUGUCAUUAAAUUUUAUUUUAAUCUAAUUAUUUUAAGAUUAUCAUGAUUAGAUAGGUAUAAUUCUUAGAUAGAUUAAAUUUUUUGGGAUCUUGAUUUUUUCCAAAGUUUAGUUCAAGGUUCUACUAGGCAAGUAAAAAUCCAUAAGAUCAUUGCAUCCAAAUCAUUAUUUCUGAGUGCAAGAACUUUUAUACAUGCUGCAAAAAAAGGUUCAACUUUUGUUAUAUAUACCACACCUAUUUUUGACGGAAAAAAGAUUUUAAGUAGCAUUCCAAGCCAAUAUCAAGAUUAUUAAGAUAUCUUUUAAAAAAAAAAUGUAAAUAUUUUUUCAAAGCAUUAUUCUUAUGACUGUUCUAUUGAUCUUCAAGAAUGAGCUUAACCACCAUUUGAACCAAUCUAUAGCCUAUCAUAGAAUAAAUUAGUUUUGUUUAAGGAAUAUAUUCAUAAAAAUUUGGCUAAGAACUUCAUAUGCUAUUCUAAAUCUCCAAUUAAGUCUUCUAUCUUAUUUAUGAAGAAAAAAGAUAGAUCUCAAUAAAUGUGCAUGGACUAUCAAGGACUCAACAAGAUUACUAUAAAAAAAAUCCUCUAUUCUUGAUUUUAAGACUUCUUAAUUAACUAAAUUAAGCAAAGAUUUAUACAAAAUAGAUUUAUAUGGGGCAUAUAAUCUUGUAUGUAUUAAAAAAAGAGAUAAAUAGAAAAUUAUAUUUUGAAUAGAAUGUCAUAUCUUUUGGAUUCACAAAUGCACUAGUGUCAAGGACAAGAACUCAAUGAAAGCUAAAGAGUAAGUGAGACUUUUCUCAAAAAGAAAUAGGACAAAAUAGAAAUAUGUAUAUUAAGAAAGAAACUGGAAUGGCUAUUGCCAAAAUACAAGAAAACUAGAGACCCUUGAAACUAGACUAGAAGCAAGAAAGGAGUUGACAAGAGUGAAGAGGGCUUCACUCUUGCCUCUAUAUAUACUAUCUAACUAGAAGCCACGUGGCGAUGUUCUAUAAGACCUCCAAUAUAUGUUGACUUUCUAGGCCACAUGCCUUUGCUUGCAAGGCAAGUUUUCUAUGGAUGGACGACGUAGUUAGCUUGUUCUUUAAGCUUCCAACAUGUGUGGCACAUGGCUAACUUGUUGACCAAGUUUCUAACCUAAAAGUCAACUAUAGACUCCUAUAAAGUCAAAGCAGAGUCUAUGAAGCUUCUAAGAAGCUUCUCUAGAAGAUAUUAUACAAUUAACCUACUUUUAUCUACUUUUACAUACUUUUAUCUAUUCAUAUAGGUAAUUAUAUGUAUGUCCGUGACAUUACCCCCCCUUCUAGGGACGAGUUCCACGAGGAGCGGUGAUUAUAUAUUGAGAAAAUCUAAUAUGCGACGAAUUGUAUUUGCUACAUACUCUGAUCUUUGUUCUCUUCGAAGAUAGUUGAUGGGUCCUCUUAGCCAUCGAUAGUGUCCCAUUCCAGGGCGAGAAGACCACCCUGUUAUUUGAUCACUGUUGAGGCCUUCAUAACUUCCUUCAAAUAAUACAUUUGAAACACCAUCAGGAGUCGUUUCUAUCUCCAAUAAAAUCACCAAACAUCGAAAAUCUCUUCCAAGGUCGUGAUACCAAACGCGUUGUAUCUCACCAUCUAUUCGAGGAAGAACAUGUCGUUCUUGAGGGUCUUCAUCUCGGUUGCGUCGUCUUGAAGGUUGUGACAAUCGCAAUGUCUCAUCCGGUAAGUCAGCAAACGAAGGUUCUUGAGUUGAAUCCGCUUGUUGUUGGCUCUCCAUCUAAUUAGCGUCACAAAAUGCAAAGAAGUUACAAACAAGGAUAGGAAAUUGAAUGUUAUCUUGCCUCAAUCUUGUCUCUUUUAUAAGAGAGGUUUUCAUCUUGGUUUUGAUGGAUGUCGUUGAUGAAAAACUUUGACUUUAGUUGAUGCAUUUGCUAGAUUCCUGGAUGGCUCCCAUGUGCGCUCACUAAUAUCAUAUCCGCACCAAUGAACAAGAUAUUCCAGCUUAUUUCGGCGUCGCCUUGAGUCUAAUAUCUCUUCCACCUCAAAUUCUUCAUUAUUAUCUACUUCUAUAGGAGGCGGUGGCAUUUGUCUUCUUCCUUGUAUAUCCACUGUCUUAUAUGGUUCAAGAAGAGACACGUGGAAUACAGGAUGGAUCUUCAUUGACUCCGGUAGAUGUAACCGAUAUGCAACUGGGUUGAUCUGUUCAGAAACAAAAAAGGGGCCAAGCCUACGAUAGUCCAAUUUGUCACAAGGUCGAGUGGUCUUGAUAUUGCGACGAAGUAGCCAUACCUUAUCACCCACGUUGAGUUGUGGUUGCUCUUUACGAUAUACAUCUGCAUUUAUCUUUUGUCGUUCUUGAGCUUUCUUCAACUGCGCCUUCAUUAUUGCAUGUAACUCUGACAACCGAUUUGCCAUAUCUUCUGCUGCAGGAUUAUCAACUUUUGAAAAAUCAAAAGUAUCAAGUCGUGGAUGAUAGCCAUAAUUGGCAAAGAAAGGUGUUUGUUGCGUGGAGGAAUGUACCGUAUUAUUAUAAGCAAACUCUGCCAAUGGCAGAAGGUUUGUCCAAUCAUCUUGUUGGUAGUUGAUGGUACACCUUAAAUAUUGCUCCAAGACUUGGUUUACGCGCUCUGUUUGUCCAUCAGUUUGAGGAUGGAAAGCUGAAGAUAGCUUUAUGUCCACUUUUAAAAUCUUGAAAAGAGUCCUCCAGAAUCUCGACACAAAUUGAGUUCCCCUAUCCGAUAUGAUAUCUUUAGGUAAUCCAUGAUAGCGAUAGAUAUUAUCAAUGAAAAGCUUAGCUGUUUCUUCACCUGUGAUAGAUUUUGUACAUGGCAUAAAAUGUGCCAUCUUGGUGAAACGAUCUACUAUCACAAAUAUAGAAUCAUAAGAUCUUGAGUUUGGAAGAUCUGUGAUGAAAUCCAUAGAAACAGAAGACCAUGGUUGUUCUGGUAUAGGUAAUGGCUGAAGAAGUCCGUAAGGUCGAUGUCGAGGAAUUUUUGAUCUUGAACAAAUAUCACAUGAUUGUACAAAGUCUUUGACUGACUUCCACAUUUGUGGCCACCAAAAAUCUCUUGAUAUGAGUUCCAGAGUCUUAUUAUAUCCAAAGUGCCCUGCUGCUGGAAAGUCAUGACGUGCUUGAAGAACACGCAAACGUGCUUUUCCUUCUGGAACAUAUAGGCGUCCUUCAAAAUAUAAUAGAUUAUUCUUGAACUCGAACUUAGAAGAAUCAUGAGACUUGGAAGAAUUAUUCUCGAUAUCAUGAACAAGAGGGUCUGAGGACAUACUGGACUGGAUUUGCUUGAGAAAAGUUGAAUCAACAGUCAAUGUUGAUUUCACUGCUCGGAGAUGAAAUUGCUCUGGUUUCAAGAGGACCGUUCUUUGUUGCUCAAAAGCUGCAUCUCCUUCUUUUGGUGCAAAAUAAGAACGUCUAGACAGGGCAUCAGACAAACCUUGUUGUUUUCCUGGCCGAUAAGUGAUAAUGAAGUCGAAUCUUGACAAAGACAUACUCCAACGAGCUUGACGACGAUUCAACACGGGUGCUGACAUGAAAUACUCGAGGUUCUUGUGAUCUGUAUACACAGUGAUUGGACUAGAAGCACCUUCUAAAUAAUGACGCCAUUCUUGAAAGGAAUCCACGAUUGCAAGAAGUUCUUUAUCGUGGAUCUCAUAAUUGAUCUCGGCUGCUGAGAAUUUUCUUGAAUGAAAAGCUAUCGGAUGAAGUUUGUCAUCUGUUCCCAUUUGUGAUAAAACUGCACCCAAGGCAAAAUCCGAUGCGUCUGUUUCCAUAAAAAAUACCUUGGAAAAGUCAACACGAUAUAAGACUGGUGCAGAGACAAACGAUGUCUUCAAGGCUUCAAAUGCUGCUUCCGCUUCUUGAUUCCAUUGGAAUUUAUCUUUACUAGUCAAGCGUGUAAGUGGAGCUGCAACUCGUGAGAAGUCUUUGAUGAAGAUCCGAUAGUAAUUGGCAAAUCCCAAGAAACAUUGGACAUCUCUUACAGUCUUUGGAAUCUUCCAAUCCAUGAUUGUUUGGACUUUCUUAGAAUCCAUCAUAAGACCAUCAUUUGAAAUGAUGUAUCCUAAAAAGUCAACUUGAGUAGUGUGAAAUACACACUUUUCCAUCUUGGCGUACAAUCCUGCAUCUCUGAGUUUUUGUAAUACUUGACGAACAUGUAUUUCAUGUUCUUCAACAUUCUUAGAAUAAAUCAGGAUAUCGUCUAGGUAGCAGACGACAAAAUUGUCUAAGAAUUCACGAAAUACAUCAUUCAUGAGAUGUUGAAAAGCAGCUGGUGCAUUCGUGAGUCCAAAAGGCAUGACAUUAUAUUCAAAAUGCCAGUACCUGGUUCGAAACGCAGUCUUCCAUUCAUCUCCUUCUUUGAUCCGUACUAGAUUAUAUGCUCCUCUUAGAUCUAUUUUUGUAUAGAUCUUAGCUUGAUUUAACUGGUCAAGGAGUCCUGAUAUCAAAGGUAAUGGAUACCUGUUCUUGAUUGUGAUCUUGUUGAGUCCUCGAUAGUCAACACACAUUCGUAAAGAUCCAUCUUUUUUCUUUACGAAUAAAAUUGGAGCUCCUGCUGGAGAUUUUGAAUGGCGUAUGAAAUUCUUCGCUAAAUUCUCGUCAAUAUAUGUCUUGAGUUCAGCCAACUCAUCUUGCGAUAAACUGUAAAUUGGUCCAAAUGGUGGCUGAGUUCCUUCCUUGAGAUCGAUUGAACAAUCGUAUGGGCGAUGCUCAGGAAGAAUAUCUGCAUUCUUUUUCUCAAAAACGUCUUGAUAAUCCUGAUAUUGACUUGGAAUGCCACUUGAAGUCUUUACGUUUUCAGAAAUAGGUGCAGCAUAAAUAGCAAAAGUUGAUCCUUCUUUUGCUGCGUGUAUAAAUGCUUUUGCACCUAUAGGUGCGAGUUUUACUAUACUAGACUCAUGGUUUUUUACUUGGUUAAUAGAACUGUUACUAAUGCUCUGAGGAAAAUCAAGUUUACGCGAAAUCCAAUCUAUUCGAGGAUUAUACUUUUCUAACCAUGAUAAGCCUAAAAUUACUGGAUUAGAGGGAGAUCUAAUUAUAUUAAAAAUUACGCAACUACUAUGACCAUUUAUUACUACAUCUACAGGAAGUGUUUCGUGAGUUACAUCUCCAGAAGACAACGGACGACCAUCUAUGACUUCUACGUGUACAGGUUUAGUUUUUUGUAUUAAUGAUAUUCUAUGACAUCUAGCAAAUUCUUCAUCUAAAAAACAAGAUGAGGCUCUUGAAUCUACCAAGGCAGAGGCUUUGUAAUUAUUAGGUCCUAAACGCACAUCUAUUAUAAAACAAGGAGAUGGUUCUGAGGAGAGGAUAGGACCUUCAUUAGAAGUUGUACAAGAUUCCAGCCGCACGGUCCCUAUUGUAGCUGGACGUACUCGUUUUCCGACAUACUGUCUUCUUUGACAGCCGUACUCCUCAUUUUGUAGUUACGUCGCUUCUUUGGACAAUGUUGAGCAGUGUGCUUAGGUUCUCCACUAUAUAAGCACAAUCCUUCUUGUCGACGACGAGACUUUUCUUGCUCAGUAAGAGGUUUGAAACGUACCGCAUCAAUUUGCAUAUCCUCUACUUCUGAAGGUAUGUGUUGAGGAGACGUCGGUGUUGCCAUUGAAUUGUAGUAACGUUGAGGCCCACUUGUGCGACUCUCGGAUCAAAAUUCAAAAAGUCGAUUGUCGCACUUCACAGCAAAGUCAAUUGCUUGACUCAAUGUUUGAGGAUCAGGUAAAUUAAGCAUCAAUUUCUUUACCUCAUAUUGUAAUCCGUAGAGAAAUUGACUCACAAGUGCGGCAUCAUCCCACUUGAUAUCAGUUGCAAGUUGUCGAAAUUGCGAAGCAUAUAAUGUUACUGAUCGAUUGCCUUGUCGCAAAAUACGGAUCUUGUUGGUUGCAACACGAAUUGCAUCAUGUUCUCCAAACAUGGAUCGAAACUCCGCCAAAAAAGCCUCCAGAUUAUCCAAUAUUGGAUCUCGUCGUUCAAGAAAAGAUGAAAACCAUGACAAUGCUGAACCUGAAAGAAGUGUACCAAUGAAUCUAACUUGUGACCCUAGAGUUGGAUAGCUCUGGGGUUGAAGUUCAAUCACUAGUUGGACCUGAUUGAUGAAUCCUCGAAACUUGGAUCUGGUACCAUCAAACUUCUCGGGCAAGGCAACUCUCGGUUCUCUAACACUCGAACGGUGUUCCAUUCUGGGAGAAGGGACAUGGUUUGGUGCAGAUGUUGAAGCAGCCCCAAUCAUCUCUAUAUCUUCACUUCCUACCAUUCUUGUUGCUCCUUGUGGUGGAAAAUUGAGUUGAUGCAUCGCAAGCAUUAACUCCCUCAAUUGUUCUUGCAUCUGUGCCAUUGCACUCUUCAUUUCAACAAGCUCUGCCAUAGUAGCACUUAGAAAAGAGAAGAUGUCUAAUAACGCUCAAAACAAAUAGAAGAGAGGAAUUGAUAACAAAGAAAAUACUAAGAACAAUAUCAGUUUAAAAGAGGGUAAUCCGCAACUUCUAAUGCGCUUAUGUCUUAUCAAAAAAAAGGGGUAAUCCACUCUUAAUCAAGAAAAGACAAAGCUCUGAUAUUGUAAGUGCACUCUUGUCAAUUUGUCAAGGACAAGAACUCGAUGAAAGCUAAAGAGUAAGUGAGACUUUUCUCAAAAAGAAAUAGGACAAAAUAGAAAUAUGUAUAUUAAGAAAGAAACUGGAAUGGCUAUUGCCAAAAUACAAGAAAACUAGAGACCCUUGAAACUAGACUAGAAGCAAGAAAGGAGUUGACAAGAGUGAAGAGGGCUUCACUCUUGCCUCUAUAUAUACUAUCUAACUAGAAGCCACGUGGCGAUGUUCUAUAAGACCUCCAAUAUAUGUUGACUUUCUAGGCCACAUGCCUUUGCUUGCAAGGCAAGUUUUCUAUGGAUGGACCACGUAGUUAGCUUGUUCUUUAAGCUUCCAACAUGUGUGGCACAUGGCUAACUUGUUGACCAAGUUUCUAACCUAAAAGUCAACUAUAGACUCCUAUAAAGUCAAAGCAGCGUCUAUGAAGCUUCUAAGAAGCUUCUCUAGAAGAUAUUACACAAUUAACCUACUUUUAUCUACUUUUACAUACUUUUAUCUAUUCAUAUAGGUAAUUAUAUGUAUGUCCGUGACAACUAGCUACUUUUCAACAUCUAACAAAUGAUGUCAUUUAUGAAUUCUUUGAUGAUUUUAUCAUCUAAUAUUAUAAUAACAUCUUAAUCUAAUCUAAAAACACAAAAGAGUAUGAAGUUUAUAUUUGUUGUUUAUUACAAAAACUAAAAGAUACAAGAUUAUAUGCAAAGAUGAAAAAGUGUGUAUUUUACACUACUUAAGUUGAUUUUUUUGGAUAUAUCAUUUCAAAUGAUGGUCUUAUGAUAGAUUCUAAGAUGAUUCAAACUAUCAUAGAUUAGAAGAUCUCAAAAAUAAUCAAAAAUGUACAAUAUUUUUUGAAAUUUGAAAAUUAUUAUCAAAUCUUCAUCAUGAACUUUUUUCAAGUUGUUGCUCCUCUUAUAUGCCUAACAUAUAAAGACAAAAUUGAAUGGAGGAAAGAAGUUGAAGGAUCUUUUGAAGCCUUAAAGACAUCAUUUAUUUUAGUAUUAAUUUUAUAUUGUGUCAACUUUUUAAAAGCAAUCUUUAUAGAAAUAAAUACAUCAAACUUUGUCAUGGAUGUUGCUUUCUCAUAAAGAGGAGCAAAUCACAAGCUCCAUCUAGUAGUUUUUUAUUCUAAGAAAUUUUCAAUAGCCAAGAUUAAUUUUGAAAUCCAUGACAAAGAGUUUUAUUGCAAUUUUGGAUUUAUUUCAAAAAUGGCAUCAUUAUCUAAAAUUUUCUUCUAGUCCAAUUAUUGUAUAUGAAGAUCACAAGAAUCUUGAAUAUUUUAUGUCAACACAUGUUUUGAAUUAUCACAAAGAUUGUUGGAGCAUGUCUUUAUCAAAAUUUGAUUUUAAGAUUACUUAUCAAUCCAAAAAAAUAAAAAUGUUUGUCAAUGGCCCUUUAUAAACCUUCUUAUCUUACACUAAAAGAAGAAGAUACAACUUUUGAUCAACAAAGAAUAAUUCGCUUAAAACUAGAGCAUUUUCAUCUUUAAACAAUAUAAUCAAUAUUGACUAUUGAUUCAUCUUUUGUCAAACAAAUUCAAUUAAGUAUGUCUUUCAAUCCUCUUCUUCAUGAUAUCAAGAAUAAUUCUUUUAAUUCUCAAAAUACUUUCAAGUUUGAAUUUAAAAAUAAUCUAUUCUAUUUUAAAAAAUAAUUAUAUAUUCUAAAAAGCAAAGCACGAUUACAUAUAUUUUAAAUUUGUUAUAACUUUUUAAUAAUCAAAUAUUUUGGAUAUAAUAAAAUUUUAAAGCUAAUAUUAAGAGAUUUUUGGUGGCUUCAAAUGCAAAAGGAAAUUAAAGACUUUCUACAAUCAUGUUAUAUUUGUUCAGGAUAAAAAACUCCUUGUUAUUGACUUUAUGGACUUUUCUAGCCAUUACCUAUUCCACAACAAUCAAGGUCUUUUGUUUCAAUGAAUUUUAUUAAAAAUAUUUUAAUUUCAAGUUUGUAUGAUUUUAUAUUUAUUAAAGUAGAUCAUUUUACUAAAAUGUCACAUUUUAUACUAUGUAUAAAAUAUAUCACAUGUGAAAAAAAUAGCUAAGCUUUUUCUUAAUAAUAUCAAUUACUAUCAUGAAUUGUCUAAAGAUAUUGUAUUGAAUAAGACUCAAUUUGUAUCAAGAUUUAAGAAAAUUAUUUUAAAUAUUCUAAAGUUAGAUAUAAAGCUUUUUUUGACUUUUUAUUCUUAAAUUGAUAAAUAAAUAGAACAAGUGAAUGAAGUUCUAAAGUAAUAUUUGAAGUAUACCAUCAACUAUCAUCAAGAUGAUUGAACAACUCUUUUGCUAUUGGUGGAGUUUGUAUAUAAUAAUUCAAUAUAUUCUUCUAUUCAACAAAUACAUUCUUUUUUAAUUAUGGUUGUUAUCCAUGACUUGAUACUUUUGACUUUUCAAAAGUUAAUAAUCAUGCAACAAAAGAUUUAGUAAAUUAUUUGUCAAAGCUAUAUACAACAAUGAAGGCAAAAUUAACAAAAAGAUAAAAAUAAUAAAAGAUCAAUGUGGAUGCCUAUUGCAAGGAAAAACUACAAUUUAUUGUAGGUGAUAAGAUAUGACUACUUCAUUGCAUUAUCAAGACUAUUCAUCUUUGUAAUAAGUUGGACUAUUGUAGGCUUUGAUCUUUUUCUACUUAUAAAUAAGUCAAUCUUAUUCCUUAUCAAUUACAUCUACUGGAGUCUAUGAAGAUCUUAUCAUGGACAUAGGCAUGUAAGCCAAUAAUUACAUGUAUAAAUAGGUAUAAGUAAGUAAAAGUAGGUAAAAAUAAGUUAAUUCUAUAAUAUUUGGUAUAGAAGAUUCUUAGAAGCUUCAUACACAUUGCUUUGACUUUAUAGGUGUUUUUAAUUGACUUUUUGGGAUUAAAAACGUGGUCAAUAAGUUGGCCAUGUACCACACAUAUUGUUAGCUUGAAGACCAAGGUAACUAUGUGGCCCACACGUAGAAAAACUUGCCUUGUAAGUCAAGGCAUGUGUCCUACAAAGUCAACACAUAUUGAAGGUCCUGUAGAACAUUGCCACGUAGCCUUUAAUAAGAUAGUAUAUAUAAAGACAAGAGUGAAGCCUUCUUUACUCUUGUCAACUCUUUUCUUGCUUCUAGUCUAGUUUCAAGGGUCUCUAGUUUUCUUUUGGCAAUAGCUAUUCCAGUUUCUUUCUUAAUAUACAUAUUAAGUUAUUUCUAUUUUUUCAUCUUUCUUUGAGAGUAGUCUCACUUAUUUAUUUGACUUUAUCAUGUUUUUGUCCUUGACACAUCUAUUUCAUAUUCUAUAUAUAUAUUUUUUUAGCCAUAUAAAAUAAUGAACAUUUUAAAAUGAAGACAAAUGCUACCACGUCCUAUAAAAGUGGAUAUUAAUCAAGACUUCAAGGUGGAAGAAGAUUUAUAUUCAAGGUGAUGCCAAAAUAUAGUGUCUCAAAAUAUAUUAUUUUAAUGUUGACAUAUUUUAGAAAGAAUAGUAUAUUACAAAUGAAUUGUAGUGAAUAAUGACAUGUGGUUUGUAUAGCAAAUAAAGUAUUCUUUUAUAGCUAUCAAAUGAGCCCAAAUUAAAAAGAAUCCAUUAAAUAAUUAGAAAGCUAUGACCAAUCUAAUUUAGAAUACUAUUAAAAUAAUUUUUUGAAUGUAGGAUCUAAUUUUUGGAUUCUAUCAAUUACUCAAUAUUAUAAUAUUCUAUCAUUAUUAGAUUUACUAUAAAAAUAUUAUUAUUAAUCUAAUAACAUCAUUAAUGCUCACUAGCAGUUAUAAAAGUACCAUUCUUAAUCACAAUUUCUAGUAUGGACGUAUUUCAAAUUAUCACAUUUUAGUACCUUCUAAAAUCUUCUACAAUAUUUUAAAAAAUUCCAUAGGCUUUUGGAAGCCUCUUUAGACUUCUAAAAGCUUCUAUAGAUUUCUAAAAACUUCCAUAGAAAAUACCAUAGACUUUUAUAACCUUCAUUAUAGUAUAAAUAGAAGUUUUUUGAACCACUUUUGCUAUUAAUAUUAUUCUUUGUCUUUAAUCUUGAAAUAUUUCUUUAUCAAAUCCUUGAUAAUUCUUUAAAUAACUUUGAGAUAUAUUUUUUACUCUUUCCAAGACAACAUCACAUCUACACUUCUUUAUUCUCAAAAAUCUUAUGGCCAAAUUGCUUCUGAACUUAGCUGCUAUAAAGCUAUUAUCUCUAGGGUAGCAAAAAAGAUUACUUUUAAUUAGGCAGAUCAAAGAAAUUCACUGCAGUAGAUAAAAAGGCAAUUAUUUUCCAAAUCAACUCUUAAAAGGCUGAAAAUAUUAUUGAGGUUGCUAAAAAAUUUAACAAUAUUAUCAGUAAUCUCCUACCAAUUCAAACCAUUCAAAAUAUUCUUAAGAAAUGGAAUAUGAAAGUUGUUGUGAAAAAAAAAAAAAAAAUCCACUAUUAUUUACUUACUAUUGAAAAUAAUGCUUGGAUUUUGCUUUAAAAUACAAGGAAUGGACUAUGGAAAAUUGGAAGAAGAUUAUUUGAUUAGAUGAAAAAAAAUCAACAGAUUUUGAUCAGAUGGCAAAAAGUGGAUGUAGAAACAAAAGGGUCAAUUCUUACUUGACAAGAAGAUCCAAGAAACAAUUAAGCAUAGAAGUAGAAAUAUAAUAGAAUGAGAUUAUAUGAGAUGGAAUGGAAUUAAAAAGAUAGCAUAGGUUGAGUGAAAUAUGGAUGCCAAGCAAUUUGUAGAAAUUCUUGAAAAAGAAUCUGCUCCCUAAAAUUUAAGAAUCUCGCAUAUAUGAGGAAGAGGUAAAUUUUCAGCAAGAUAAUGACCUCAAGCAUAACUCAAAACUAACAAAAAAGUGGUUUGUUCAUCAUAUGAUUAAAUUAACAAAUUGACAUAUUCAAUCUCUUGAUCAUAAUUCCAUUGAACAUCUUUGGGAGCACCUCAAAUGCCUACUCAACAUUUGGAAGAUAAAAUCAAUGGAAGUUUGGAAAUUAUGAAAAAAAAAAUUGUAGAAUGAAAUAAUAUUGAAGCAAUUUUGUGCCAAAAGUUAAUAAAAAGUAUGUAUAGGAGGUUGGAAGUAGUUAUCAAGGCCAAAGUAGGUCUUACAAAGUAUUGAUAUAUAUUUGGAUACCACAUUCAAAAAAAUAUUUCAAUACUAUUCCAAAUUAGAUUGGUCAUAGUUUUACAAUUACCUAAUGGAUUUUUUUCAAUUUAUACUCAUUUGAUAGCUGUAAAAGAGUAUUUUAUUUCCUAUACAAAUCAUAUCUCAUUAUUUAUUACAACUCAUCUAUAAUACAUCAUUCUUUUUAAAAUAUGUCAACUUUGAAAUAAUUUUUUAAAUCAUUGUAGGUUAGAAUAUCUUGUUCAUUGGCAUGGAUAUGAUAUCAAUGAAUGCGCAUGGGAGCCAACAAGUUUUUUUGCAAAUGCAAAAAAAAAAAUUGAAGCUUUUUAUUAAUAAUAUCCAUUAAAAUCAAGAUUAAGAAUAAAAAAAAUUUAUUAUAAAAGAAACAAGAUUAAAAAAAUAUAGCAUUCUACUUUCUAUUCUUGUUUGUAAUUUUUGUACAUUUGUGAAAUUAAGAAAAUAGAGAAUCAAAAACCAAAAAAUUCAACUCAAGAGCUAUUAUUUAUUGACUUAUCAGAUGAGAUAUUGUAAUUGUUAUAACCUCCAAGAUGACAUAAUCAAGAUAACACAAUCAGAAUGAAGAUCUUUAAGAAUGAUACGUUUUUCUUUGAAUAGAUGGCAAGAUGUAACAUGUUUGGUAUUACAAUAUUAUAAGAGAUUCUUGAUGUUUGGUGGUUUUAUUAGAAAUAAGAAUGACUCUUAAUGGUAUUUUAAAUUUUUUAUUUGAAAAAAAUUACAAAGGCCUCAACAAUUUUCAAAUAAUAUGGUGGUCUUUUUUGCCUUGAUAUGAAAUACUAUCAAUGGUUGAAAAGACCUAUCAACCAUCUUCAAAGAGAACAAAGAUCACAGAAUGUGGUAAUCACAAUUUGUCACAUUUUGGAUUUCUUCAAUAUGUGAUAAUUGCUCCUUGUCGAUUUUAUUUCCAAAAAAAGAGAUAAUAUCAUAGACAUACAUAUUUAUUUAUAUGAUUAAAUAAAAGUUGAUAGAUAUAAAAUUAUUUCAUAAUAUGUUUUAAAAAAAAUUCCUAGAAGCUUUAUAAAUGUUGCUUUGAUUUUAUAUAUAUUUGUAAUUAAUUGGUAGGUUAGAAAAUUGUUCAAUAAAUUAACCAUAUCUUGAUAGCUUACAAAACAAGCUAAUUAUAUAGUGCACAUAUAAAAAACUUGCCUUGCAAGUUAAGAUAUGUGUCUUACAAAGUCAAUAUGUUUUGGAGGUCCUAUUAGGCAUUGCUACAUAACUCUUAUUUAAGAGCAUAUACAAAGGCAAGAGUGAAGUCUUCUUCAUUUUGAUUAAUGCCUUUCUUAUCUUUCAUCUUGUUUCAAAACUUUCUGAUUUUCUUGUCUUUGAUAAUAUUCAUUUUAGUUUAAUGUUAUAUCAUCUUUGAGUGAUUUUUUAAUUCUUUUGAGUGACAUAAGAGUGUAUUUAGGAUUUCUUUCUUUGAAUUUCAUGUCCUUGAUAAUUUGAAAUUGUUAUAGAUCUUCAAAAACUUGUCAAUAUUCUAAAAUUAGAAAUCUCAUAUAUUUUCAAUAUGAAUUAUGAAGUAUUAUUUUUACGCAUAUGGAACAAAUUAACAAUGAAGUUCAAAGUCUAUGCCAAGAAGAAAGAUCAAGCUUAUAACUAAAUCCAAUUUUUUUUUGCUACUACAAGUAUAAUAGAAGCAAUAAUAAAUAUGGUCAAGAAAUUUGAUGGAAAAAAAUCAAAGUUUUAAGGAAUUCUACAAAAAUAUAAAAUUCUAAGGUUGCAUCUUUUCUAAUAACUUGAUUGAUUUACUCAAAUUGGAUUCAUUAAAGUCUUUUUUUUUACAAAUGUUAUUGUAUUAUAUGAAGUCUAUUUAAUAAUUUACCAGAUACAUUGUUGUAGAAAAAAAAAAUAGAACUUACAACAAGAUGAUCCUAACAACUCUAAUAAAAUCCUUAAAAUAAUUUAAUUAAAUUAUAAAAAUAUUAACCAAUCUUUAAUUAAAUCCACAAAAAGUUUCAAGAACUUACAAAAGAAAUAUAAAAAAAUCAUAAAUUAAUCUUAAUAAAAUACAUACAAUAAAAAAAUCUUAAAAAAUAUCAAAAUAAUAAAUCUUAAUUGAAUUUUAAUUAAAUACUAAUGUAAUCUUCCAAAAUUUUAAUAAAAUUUUAGACUAAUUUCAACCAAAACUUUAAUGAAAUCCUAAAUUUUUAACAAAUCUUAAUCAAAUUUUAAACAAAUUUUAAUCAAAUCUUAAUCAAAUCUUAAUCAAAUCUUUAAAAAAUCCUAAUAAAAUCCUAAGUAAAUCUUAAAUUCUAAUCAUAGAUCAAAUUCUAAUAAAAUCAUAAUAAAUCCUAAAAAAAUCCUAAAUCUUAACUUCAGACCAAAUCCAUAUGAAAUCUUAAACUUUAAACAACUUAAGAAAAUUUCAAAUAAAUUUCAUUCGAUUAUUAUAGCUAAUUGAAACCUCAAUAAAUAUUAAUUGAACCAUAUAUCUUGACUAAAAUUUUACUUAUACUUCAACCAAUAAACAAUUAAGAAACAUAUAAAAUUUAAAAAGAAUCAAACUUAUCAAUUAUAAGAAAAGCUUCCAAAACUUCUUAGUUAUUGAUGGCCUUUCUUCUCCCACUUGAAUGCUGAUCUUUUAACAUUGAUUUUUCCUUAUUGAAUCAAUUUAUUUUUCCAAAUAUUGGAUUUUAUGUAUAUAUUCAAGUCUUAAGUGCUUUCACCAAAUUUUGCUUCAAUUUAAUCAGCUAAUAUUGAUAGAUAUUGAAAUCAUUUGCUAAUCCUAAAUCUCAUUUUUUAAAAACUAUAAUCCAUAAAAAUUAUUAUAUUCUUCAAUCUAAUAUCUUCAUUGACUUCAAACAUUUCACAUACAUUUACAACAAGUACAACAAAAAAAAUUCCAAUUUUUAUUAAUACACAUACUAUAAAACUCACAAAAUCUUAAAAUUUGUAAAUUUAUUUUACUUUUUAAAAUAUAAAUCUAUCAAGUACAUCAUUAACUUUGAAAAGCCCUCAAAAUAUCAAUAUUAAUUUUAAUAACAUGAAACCAACACUCAAACCUCUUCUCUCAAGUGUGCUUUCAAAGCUUAUUCUUUAAUUUGCAAAAAAAUGUGAAGUCAUUGUAGGUGCUCGAUUUUUUGCCUUGGAGUCUAAUUUUGACCUUGGUUAUCAAUUGAUCCUCUACAAGUAUCAAUUCUUAUCUUCUUAAGGUAAUUUUUUCUAAUAUCAACUUCUAAUUUUUUUUUAUAUAUGUCUAUAUUCUUGAUUUCUCUUAUCUAUCUUAUUUUGCCUUAUUUAUGGUUCUAUAAAAUAAAUAGAAAUCAUUUUUAUAAAAAAUAAUUCUAAUACUAAUAGAUUUUAUUACUUGCCUAUCAUUUAUCUAUAUUUUUACUAUAUAUUUUUAUUUAGGUUCUUCUAUAAUAAAAUAUUUUCCUUCUUCUUUCACUUUAUGGCCCUAUUAUUAUACAAUAGUGCUCUUUCUUCAUUUGUACCUUUGAUAGAAAAAGAUUCAUGGCUAUUUAUGAUCUGAAUUUAUUUUUAUAAGUAUUUAUGGCUAUAUUUAUAAAAAAAAUUUGAAAAAAGGUAGCAAAGUACAAGCUUGUAUCUCUACAAUAAAGAUCAUAUUUAGCCACUACAUAUAUUGUUGAAUUUCAAAAUCUUACUUAUGACGUGGAUUGGAAUGAUAAAGCCAUUAUUAAUCAAUUUUGAUAUAAAUUGAAAGAUGAUAUUAAAUAUUUAUUUUUGAUAAUACCAAUAAUAGAUUUAUUAGAGUAAAUUAUUACUCAAGUCAUUGUAUAUGAUAAUUAGUUUUUUAAAAGAUACUAAAAAUAAAUAUUUGAUUAAAGAUGUACAAAUUAAGCCAUAGAAAUGUUUUUAAAAUUUUUGAAAGCUUAUUUAUUAAGGCUAGAGUCUAUGCAAAUUGACAAGGUAAAUUUUAAACCUCUUACUGAGCAAGAAAAGAUUUGUCAUUGUUAAGAGAGUUUAUACUUAUAUUGUGUAGAAGCUAGGCACACUACUUAAUAUUUUCUAAAGAAGCAACGCAAUCACAAAAUAAAGAGCAUGGUUGCCAAAGAAAACAAUAUGUUGUAAAAUAAAUUUUUCUAGCUACAAUGAUGACCAUGCAACUGGAAUCAUGUACAACACUUAGUACAAGUCUUAUUCUUUCAUUAGAUCUCUCAUCUUUUUUUACAAUAGAUAUAUAUUUAGGACCAAAAAAUCACAAAUUCUUAGCUUUGUUAGAUUAAAGAGCCUUAUUAUGUUUUAUAGACAAAUAUUUUGUCAAAAAAUAAGAAAUAUUUUUAGUUAAAAAAAACCAAACUUGUAUAUGUAAAAGUAAUAGAUAAUUUCUUUUGUAGCUAUAAAAAAAGACUCAAUUUUUGUUAUAUAUGCCACACCUAUUAUUGUUGAAAAAAAGAUUUUAAAUAAUAUUUCAAGCCAAUAUCAAGAUUAUUAAGACAUUUUGAAAAGAAAAAUAUAGAUACUCUUUUUAAACAUUAUCCUUAUGAUUAUUUUAUUUAACUUCAAGAAAAAGCUCAACCACAAUUUAUACCAAUCUAUAACCUAUCAUAGAAUAAGUUGGAUGCACUCAAGGAGUAUAUUGAUGAGAAUUUGGCUAAGAAUUUCAUAUGCUAUUGUAUUCUAUGAAGUCUUGCUCAAGAAUGCAUCAGUCACCUAGCUAUAGAAGAUAAAAUCAAAAUUACUACAACAAAAUCUUAACUCUAAUAGAAUACUAAAUAAACUCUAAUUAAAUCUUACUAAUGUUAAACAAGAUUUGAUCAAAUUUAAAAGAAAAUUUAAAGUAAUUACAAUAGAAAUAAUAAGAAAUCUUAAUGGGAUUAAAAGAAAAUCCUCCAUAAACCUUAAAUUUUUUUUAAAGAAAUCCUAAAAAUAUUAGAAUAAUUACAAAUAUAUCUUAAAUAAAUCUCAAAAAAGUUCCAAUUUAAUCCUUGUUGAAAUCUUAAUGAACUUCAAUCAAAAUCUAAACAAAUCCUAAAUUCUAAACGAAAUUCUAGACAAAUCCUAAACACUAAAACAAAUUCUAAAAAAAUCCUAAAUCCUAAAUCAAAUCCUAGAAAAAUUCUAAACCAUAAACCAAACCUUAGAAAAAUCUUAAAUCCUAAAUCAAAUCCUAAACUAAAUCCUAAUUCUAAAGCAAAUCGUAACCAAACCUUAAUCAACUCAAUCUAAUUCUAUUACUGUUUAAAACCUUAAUAACUAUCAAUUGAGUUAUUGAUAUUGCUUAAAAAUUUACAUACUUCUCAAAAAUUAAAUUAGUAAUAAGUAUAUGAAAUUUGAAGAUAAUCACAUAUACCAAAGGGAAGAAAAAUCUUAAAAUUUUCUCGAGUAUUGGUUGGCCUCCUACUCCAAUCUAAAUGUUGAAAUUCCAGUGCCAAUAUCUCUCUUUUAAACCAAUUAAUUGUUCUCAAAUUUCACAUAUGUAUAACAAAUCAAGUCUAUUACUUUUAUAAAUAAAUUUUACUCCGAUUCAAGUAGUAGAUUGCUAAAGAUCUUAGAAACUCUAACUGCCUUUUAAAGUCCAAUUUUUGAGAUCUCAACCUACUUGAAAUUCAAUAACCUUCAAUUCAAUAAUUUUAUCAAGCUCAAACUUACAGCAUAUACUCUAGACAAUUAUUUUUAUAAGUCUUCAAAUUUUGAAUCAUAGAUCUAUUACCAAAUUCAUGAAAUUCUCUAAAUUAUUAUAUCCUUUUUUAUUUCAUAGAUUCUAUAGUCACCUAAAAGAAGUGUGACUUUACAAAGCUCUUACAAAAUCAUUACAUACUCAAAUCACUUAAAAUCAUGCCUAAAGAAACUUUUUUAAGUCUAUUCCUUAAUCCUACUUAUUGAUCUGCAAAAAAAUCCCCAAAUUACUAUAGGUACCUAAUUUUAUGCCUCAAGGUCUGAUUUCAAUCCAUAUUGAUAACUGGUCCUCUCCAAGUAUCAAAUUUUGCCCUUUUGAGUUAAUUAUUGCUAAAAUCAAUUCUUUACUUCCUUAUACUUAUGCUCAUAUUCUUUAUUUUUCUAAUCUACUUUGUUUUUUUUUUAUUUAUUUAUUUAUGAACUUACUAAGUAAAUAGAAGCUUACUUUGUAAAAAAGUAGCAUUUACAUCUUUAAUUUUACCUUCUUUUUGGACUAUUGUCUAUUUUUUAAGAUAAAUUGUUAUAAUAUUUGAAGUAAGAUCUUCUAUAAUAUAAUAAUUUUUUCACCCUUUUUACCUAUUAGUCAUAUUAUAUCAUGACAUUCACCCCCUAAACUUGUGCAUCUUCCAACAUGUGCCAAUGAUUCUUUAAUAUAUUAUUAAAGUAUUCUUUAUCAUGGUUAGAUUCUUGAUCUUCAAUUUUCUCUUCUUCUUCUAUCUUAUUGUCUUGUAAUGGAUUUUAUUCUUCGUCAAAAUUAAUAUUUUUAUCUCUUUGUUUAAAUAACUUGAUUAUCUUCUUUACUAUAGGUAUCUUUAUUUUUGUACCAUUAAGUUCUUAUAAAAAGUAUGUUCUAUUGUUGUAUACUUAUUUGACAACAUAAGGCCUAAACUAUCUUCUUGUAAAUUUUUUUAUCGUGCUAUAUUGGUUGUCCAAACUACUAUCAUAAACCAACAUCAAAUCAUCAUUUUGAAUUAGUUUUGGAUAUAAUUGAUGUUUUUUGUCAAAUCUUUCUUUGUUUUUCUCCUUUUCCUCUUUGAACUUCUUUAUAGCUUUCUCAAUGUCCUCAAAUUUUCUUUUAAGUUGUCAAGUUUGUAAUGCUAAUAAUUCUUUUUUUCUUAAACCAUCUUCUUGAGGUAAUAUAUUCUAUAUUGGCAUCAUUGAUUUUUGUCCAUACAUCAAUUCUGCUACCAUGUAUCAUAUAAUUGUACUAUGAGUUAUGUGAUUCGUCUAUAAUGCAAAUGAUAAUAACUUAGGCCAAUCACCUAUCUUGCCUUUGCAUACUUUAAUCAAUGCUUUAACAAUUGGAAAGUGUCCACAUUCACUGUUGUUAUUUUUUUUUAGAUUAUAUGUGGUUGUUACUACGACUUUAAUACCCAUCUUCUCAAAGAAUUCUCCUACUUUAUUUGCAUCUAAUUUCCUUCUAUCUAUAGUAAUUUUUCUAAUAUAAUCAUAUUGACAAAUAAUUUCCUCUAAUAUAAACCGAUAUACCUCUUCCAAAGGCUUUGUUCAAAAUGCUCUUCCCUCCACUUGAUUUAUCAAAUUCUCUUCAGUAAGUAUCAAAUAUUUCUUUUGUCCAAAUUCCAUUGGUAUUACAACUAAAUCAACUAUCAAUUUCUAGUGAAUUGCUAAUGGAUAUGUUGGAUGCAAUCCAUCUCAAUGACAAAUGUUUGAAUAUAUUUGACAAAUCUCACUAGAUCCUAUAAAAUCUGCCAUAUUUUUAUAUAUGCCCUUUCACCAAUAUUUUUCUUUUACCUUUGCAAAUAUUGCCCAAAUGCCUCAAUAUCCGGCCUAUCAACUUUCAUGAAAUUCUUUAAUGAUAUUUAGUUGAGUAUGAUAGCUACAUAUAAUCCAUUGUGGCACUCCGCUCCUUUGCUUUGGAUGCUUCUAUAAAAAUCCAUCUUUAAAAAAAUAUCUAUAAGCUUUCCUCCAAAUUCUUUUAAACUUAUAAUUUGCCAAAUCUUCUUGCUGCUUUAAUGUACUUAAGUACUUUUUAAUAUGCAACCAUUCACCAUCAUAUAACUCUUUUGAAAAUAAUUCAAGUAGUUUAAUUAAAUACAACUCAUUCCUUCUUGCACACAAAGUUGAAUAAAAGUCCGUGCCAAUAUUUUCUUCAUCAUAUCAUGCUCAUGACAACAUGUCUGCAAGCACAUUAUCUUUUUUAAAAAUAUGUUUGAAUUCUGGAUUCAUAGACUUUAUUUAUAUAAUCCAUCUUAACAUUGAUAUAUCUGAUGUAGAAUAAUUACUAAUCAUGCCUAAUAAGCAUAAACAAUCUAUUUCUAUAGCUAACAAUGUAUCAAUCAAGUAUUCUUUUUUAUUUUUCAUAGCCAUUACUAUACAUUAUAAUUUUUUUUUAACUUGUGCAUAUACCUUCUGCUUAGCAUUCAAAAUCUUUGCUUUAAAUCUUACUACAUAUUUAUUUCUUUGUUCAUCAUCUUGUCUAACUAUUCAACCUAUUUCAAUUAGACUCAUAUCAACUGUUAAUAUCACUGACCUUCGACAUUCAUAAUUUACUUUCUUCAAAGUUAGAGGUGAAGAAAGAAGUUCUUUCAAUUUUUUCAUAGUUUUUUUUUGUUUCCCUUUCUAAUGAAAUUUUUGAUUCUUUUGUAACAACUCAUCUAAUGGAUCUGCUACAUAUGCAAAAUGAGAUAUUCAUAUAUAAUAAAAAAUACAUGCUCCUAAAAACCUUCAAAUUUCCGUUGUGUUUAUGCAUUCUUUCAACUUUUUAAUAAUAUUAAUAUUUUUCAUACUUGGCUUGCGUCCAUAUCAUCCACACAUGUAUCCUACCACCAAAACUUUUUUUUAUCCCAAAUAUUGAUUUUGUCCCUGAUAAGAUUAAAUAAUUUUUUUCUAAUCUUGUCAAAAUCUUCUCAUAAUCAUCAAUAUGAUUUGCCACAAACUUCCUACAUCCUAUUGAAUCCAAUAUCUCAUCUUUUUUUUCUUCUUAACAUCCUUUAAUAGUACAUCAUCUAAAAAAUAAAUUAUUAUUUUUAAAAUAAAUUCUCUUAAUAUCUUAUAUAUUCUAUUCAUUAUGUGUGCCAUAGAAUUUGUAACCCCUUGAGGUAAUAUACACAUUCUGACUAAUCCUAAUGGUGUCUUUACAAUUGUUAAAUUCCUACUUUGCAUUGCUAAUUGAAAUUACUCAUAAUCUAAAUAAAGAUUACUUAUUAAAUAGAUAGCUCUUCUAGCAAAUGCUUCUACAAAUUCAUCCAUAAUUGGACUUGAAUCCAUAUUUCUAAUAGUCACUUUAUUCAUAAGUUGGAUGUCUUAUAUAAAUCUCAUUGUUUUAUUUUUCUUUGGCACUAUAAAUCAUCAAUUAAAAUAGGAUACCAUUGAUAGUUCUAAAAUCCUCAUUUUAAUUUUUUUAUUGAGUAAAUCUAUUAGCUUAGAUAAAUGUGCUCUUGGUACUAAAAUUAGUCACAAAUUUCAUAGUUCAUGAGGAAUAGUAAAAAAAACCAUAGGUGUUGCAAUACUUAGAUCGACAUAUCUAAUUUCAUGUGCCUCCAAUGCAGAAGCCUUUCUAUGUCGUCUAAGGAUAUCUUUAAAAUAUAUUUUUUCAAAUUUUGUCAAAAAUCCAUCAUAUCCAACAUUUAAUCCAUGUAAUGUAGUAUCCGUAAAUUCAUGCCCUAUCUUCCUACGAUCCUUUAAAUUUAGUUGUGUAGAUGCUCCAUUUAUCCUUUCUUCAUAAUCUGGUAGUAGUGGCAAAGUCAUUGGUUUGACAUUUUUUGCGAUUGAUUAUACUUAAUUUCAACAUAUUGUUGUGACGUAAUAUGACUAUAUAGAGAAAUUAUAAUCAAAAUUAAAUUUUUAAUUAAUAUGUAAUUAUCUUAGUUCAAUUAUAAUUUUAGGUGUAUAAACAUGGCUUUCAUAAAAGCCUCUUAGGUUAUUUUCUUAUCUUAAUAGUUAAUAAGUUGAAAGUUGGUUAGUAAUUUUACCUUCUAGAUUGUAGAGACACUUCUACUACCUUAAAAAGCCCAUAAAUUGAUAAAAUCAGGUUAAAAGAGGUAAAUAAUUAAUAUAGUUGGUACUAGGAUUAAGUUGAAAGUAGGGUUGGACUAAAAAAUCUUUAGGAUAGGUUAAAUUGAUACCCGGGGGUCGGCCAUUUGUGAGACAAGGUUGAAAUCAGACCUCUCACCACAAAAAUGACGGCCUAGGGCAAAAUAAGGAUUCACUCAAAGAUCGAAGGAUAGUAUUUGAGAGCUAGCUUGAAGUUCUUUCUAGAGACAUAAGGAUUUUUUUUGGAAGGUUUUUGAAAAUUGAGAAAUUGUUCAAAGUCAGGGUUUGUAUUGGUGAUUUGGGUUUUAUAGAAUAUAACUAGGGAUAGCAAUUUUGGCUAGUUCAUGUAAUUAGUCUCACAUCUAUGGUUGAAAAUUUGGUACUAUUUGGAUUAUUAGGUGUGCUAAGUGUAUACAAAAUUUUGUGAUAAUCUAAUGGCGUGCUUUAGAGAUAUCUAGUUUUUAGUGUAAGAGGGUUUUGGAAGUUGGCAGUUUAAGGUUGGGUAGGAUUUUUGUGAUAUAUGGAGAUCAAUGAAAUGGAUUAAGGUGAAAUUUUGCAUGGUAUUGAAGGACUUGAAGAUCAAAUUGCACACCAAUUUUGAGUCAAAGUUAAUGGUUGGAAAGGGAGAAAUCACUACUGGGAUUUCUACUUCACUUUUUAAGUUGGUGGCCAAGUGACAUCAGUGCAAAUUUCGGAGGUUUUCUCACAAUUUAUAAGUUGGAUUGGGCUAAAAAUUCUUGAGCAUAUAGAAGACUUACAUUGACUAUUGCAUGCAAAAUUCCACAUCAAGUGGACGGUCGGAUUGGAUGUUAUAGCUUAUGAAAGCUCACUAAUUAUAGUUGGGGCUUAUAAGAAAAAUCUAAAUUACUUAAAUAUGAAAGUAACAAGAUAAUUGGGAUUUAUGUAUGAUUAAGGCUAAUAAGAAGAGUAUUUUUAGCACUUUUGAAUUGAAAUUCAAAUUAUAUUCUUCUUGUAUGGAUGAAACCUAUUAGGAUUCUUGAAUUCUUGUGAAACACAACCUCACCUUCCACAGUUAGGUGCCUGAUGCAUUCCCAAGGAAGACAACACAUAAUAUGAUAAUAUACCUCUUGGCAAUUUAAAUUUUCUAUAAAUCUAUAGAUUUCAUCAUAAAAUUCUUUAGAACAUACAUUAAUACAUUUAUUCUCUCCUUGCAAUCUAUCUUGCGACAAAUAAUUUAAUUUUCCCAAGAUAUCUGCAAAUGCCACUUCUUCAAAUGUUCCUAAAAUAAAUUCAUUUUCAAUCAAUUCUCCAUUUUUUUUUUCCAAUUUUUGCUCAAUAUUUUUAACAUAUUGUUUAUCCAUCUUCUUCAUCUUAUCAAUAUUCUUAAAAGAUAAUACACAAUUUGGUGUCAACUCAAUCAGCCUAGUAAAUAAUAUUUUCUUUUUAUACUUAGAGGGAGCAUCUUUUUUCUUAACCCAUUGCAAUCUUGUUUUAUAAUGGUGUGGUGAAAAUCCCUCACAUGUUCACCUCUAAAUUCUCUAGUAACCUUUGGCAAAGGUUGCUCUCUCAAACUCCCACAAUUUUUGUCAUGAUUAGCACAUACUGUCCAAAAUUGCAUCAUUUUUGUUCUAUCUUGAUUCCAAGCAUAUGUCAAUCUAUUGUCCUUAAUCUUUGUUUCCAUGCAAGUAGCCGUAAUAUAAGGUUUUUUUAGAAUGAUAGGAUAAGUAGACAUAUCUUGCACAAAGAAGUUUUUCUCAUCACUAAUAUCUCCUAUUAUAACCUAUUAUAUUGAGAAAAGACAUCCUUCUAGAGUGGAUCUCACUGAAAACUUAAGACAUAUGUGCCCUAAGGUCAUGGUCGAAUGUCUCAGCUGUGGGGCAAAGAUCCCAAUGAAGUCCAGCCUGAGCGAUGCCUUGAGGGUAGUAUAUUCAUCCCUGUAUCUCCAUCAGUAUUUCCUGCUUUCCAGGCUUGUAAUUCGUGUCCUGCCUUAUCCCCAGUCCAGAUAGGUGCAUAAACUUUCUUCUGGGUGAUAAGUAUAUUGACUGAUGCCGAACAUUUGCACUGUUUAGCCAGGCUGGUCCUCGCAUCUGCAUUGGCAUCAAAUCGGCGGCCUUGCAUAUGAAGAUGGCCACGGCAGAUUUUUAUGUCGGUUGUCAAGUUCAGAAUUGAUGCGUGGUCACCCUGUGGAUUGCCAACCGACCGCCAACUUUUCCAUACAAAAAAGAACUGCACUGGGUAGAGAGAAGGCAAUGUUUAAAUAAAUGUGUCCCUCGUUUGUUUCUACCCCGCCUUCAUCACAAUAACAAACUUCGUGUGUAUCAGAAUUAGUUCGGAGUUAUGAAAUUUGUAUCUUCAAGCACAAAAAUAGUUCGUGAAAAUCUAACAAAUUUUUAUUUUAUUUAUUUAAUUAUUAAUAACUUGAAUGUGAAUACUAGAUAAUGCUCUCCAGCUUGUAAAUGUCCAUUGUUUAUAUUUUCAAUAUUUAUGUAUACGUGCCAUUCAUUAUACGUAUAUUGAAAAUAUUUAUGUAUACGUGCCAUAUACAAAAGCAUUAUUAAUUGUUGAUUCAGGGUAAUUUAAAAUUAGCAUAUGCUUGGAAGACAACAUAUACUAAAUAAUCCGUACACGGGUUUAGGAACUUACCUCUCAACUGCAAUACAUCGGAGCAAAAGAUGGAUAGCAGAAUAAAAAAGGUGGUUUACGGUGUGUGCUAUACCAAAGCUAUCAGAACUAGGGAAUUAAUUAUAGGGGACUCCCAUUGAAUUUACUGUGAAGGGAAACACUUGAACCUAUGACAAACAUAGAUGAGGAUGCAAUACAAGCUAAUCUUAUCAAAGUCCUCUAAUACUUAAUUACAGCUGGAUCAUAUUUGCUAAAAAUGAAAUAAUGAAUUUAUAGAACCAGAAUGUCCGGGAAAAAAUACGAUUCUAACAUUAUCUGACAUUGCCAACGAAGAAGCUUAAUCAUUCUAAGCAUUCUAGGUAAUGCUGAUCUUGACCAAUGUCAAUGCUUCGACCUACACAAAUAGUCUACAAUAAAUACCUGCUUUCAAUUACCAACUAAAAAAAAAAAAAUCCAGUGGGAGACACAACAGCAAAUGAAUUCAGAAGCCCUCAAUAUCCGUUCUGAGACAACAACACAGAUAUGUAUAUGUACACGAUUAUUCGUCUGAUAACCAACAUCCGUUCUAUCGAGAUUGUGAAGAAUCAACGAGGUGCUUAAGAGUGCAAGGCAUCUUGUUCCACAUAUUCGGUUAGCACAAAUUUUUAGAAGUCAGCCUCAUGAAAGAUAAAUCAAAAGAAACAGCAGGAACCACUUACGUUAAUUGUCAAGAACUCACACUUCCCAACAUCUUCCACAUCCCACCACCAGCAUUCGCAGGUUGAUGGAAGACGUUACGAGCCCACCUCAUGUAAUGUGGGCCACAAAGCCGACAACCCUCAUCUGACAAAGCAAUGCCCCAAGACAAUCUGUACAAAAGGGAUCAAUGCCAUCAUGUAACCGUGCCAUAAAAAAGAUCUUCCAACUUGACUCAUUCAAACCCUGCGAUUCCAUAUAUCCUUGUAAUCAACCAGGUGUCAGACAACGACAUCACAGCCAGCACGCGCAAUAAAAAGUAGGCCACAACUAUAUUCCAAGCAUAAUCGAGUAGCUGACAAAUGCAAACCAACGAACUUACCCCAAACGGCUUACUACGGCAGUACCCUGAAACCGUCAAAUUUUCCAAGGAAACUAUAACAAAGAAAUGUGUGUAUUUAUAUGAAUGCUCCACAGGCUUGAAAUUUUCAAACUACAUUGUACAUAGGACCAACCAGCAAAACUAAGGAUCAAUGUGUCUUCCUAAACCAACUAGAAGUACAUCGAGGAUUCCUUCCAACAAGAAGACCUACUGCAACUGAUCAAGCUCAACAAUGUCUGCACCACAUAUCACUUCCACCUCCUCCGUCUCCUACUCUCCAUUACCCAUCCCCCCUUCCACCCUCCAUUCCAAUCAUCACCAUCCACAUCCACAACUCUCUGCACGCCAAAAUGUAAUUCUCCAAUAAAUAUAACCAUAGCACCACCUCGUCCCUAAAUCUGUUCAGAAUCUAGUGAUUACCGUAUCUCUCUCCAUGGUGCACAUCUUAACCAUGUAGUCUCCACUACUUUACUACACAACAGAGUUCUGAAAAAAUCAAGUGGUAUCGGACAUUCCAAUUCCUACGCAACCAAAAUAAACACAGAAGACCGCCUCCUACCCACUGCUUCCUCUAACUCUCGGCCCUCCCCCUCCUCCCCUACCCCUUCUCCUACACCACACCUACUGGCAGGUCACUCCAUUCCCAUCCGACCACUCGAUCGGCUCCUCGCCGCCUGUGGCUCCACAUUUCUGGACCAUGGUCAUGCAGCCAAAAUCCUGCCGCCUUUACUUUAACACUAGGUCGACACGCCUGCGCCCAUCCCAACACAAUCCCAUCGUCAGCCCCGCAACACAAAUCCCGCCACAAAUCACCCUCCCACCACCACUUCCUUCACGCAUCGCACGCACCUACUACCCGCCCCACAUCUCUACCCAUCAUGCGCUACCUCGACACCGCUCUUACCACUACUCUCCACCAUCU
rnacentral:lncRNA from 1 species